GGGGGGCUGGCUGUGCUGUGUAUACAUGGUAUAGCAGUGUGUGAUGGGGAGGCUGGCUGUGCUGUGUAUACAUGGUAUAGCAGUGUGUGUGUGAUGGGGAGGCUGACUGUGCUGUGUAUUCAUGGUAUAGCAGUGUGUGUGAUGGCUGGGUGCUAUGUAUUCAUGGUAUAGCAGUGUGUGUGAUGGCUGGGUGCUGUGUAUUCAUGGUAUAGCAGUGUGUGUGAUGGCUGGGUGCUGUGUAUUCAUGGUAUAGCAGUGUGUGUGAUGGGGAGGCUGGCUGUGCUGUGUAUUCAUGGUAUAGCAGUGUGUGUGAUGGCUGGGUGCUGUGUAUUCAUGGUAUAGCAGUGUGUGUGAUGGCUAGGUGCUGUGUAUUCAUGGUAUUCCAGUCAGUAGUAGAUUUACUCUGCUCUUGUUUUAAUCCGGUUAUCUCUCUCGCAGGUCAUUCUUUAAAAUGUUAUACAUGCACUGAAGAUAUUUGCACAGUAUCAACAUGUUAUUCCGGACAGGCCUGUGGGACAACAAUUAUGGGUAGUGGUACGUAGCCAUGAGAAGGAGAAAUCCUGUUUGUCCUAAAUAUUUUCCUCCCUAACACGGAGAAAUACCUAUGUAACGAACACUCGUAUGACAGGUACCCGUUCUCCUAUUAUUUCCCGAACUCCUAGAGCCUGAGUGAUUAUAGUUCGCAGUUAGGGUGUUGGUUUGAACGCUUCUCCAGACAAAUUACAGCUUCCAAGUAUAGUCUCCCAGCAAGGUAGACAGGUACCCAAACAUCAGUCAAAACUAGAUGAAGAGUGUAACAGGAACCCUUUAUUCAGGCUAACCACCUGGCUUUUAUGCAGUAAACAAUGCACAGGGUUUCAGUUAACAUAUUGCAGGGGAAUUCCCCACUGGACCUGAGAGGGGACAGUGACAAAAUACAUUUUGCAAAUCUACUGGCUCUCAGGUCCAGGACACUCCUACAUGCAGUAAUAUAAUCUUCCCCUGUACUGGGGAGAUAAUCGAGUCAAGCAAUUUACUAAACUCAAUUAUCUCCCAACACAAAAAAAACAUACAUUUCCCUAAAACUUAAAAGUACCCCAAACUCCAUGGGAAACCCGCAGAUAGCCCCGAUCUGUGGAACGAACAUAUUCAAAAAUCACCCAGAUUGGUUCAGGGGUUUAAAAGUUACAUGGAGGUCUUAAUUUGACCGACUGCACACAAGGCUCCUGCCCAGAAAUAGUUCCAUGAAAUUGAGCUGUGCGGUCAGUCUAUUUCGACAAGUACAAAAACCGAAUAAAUCAACGAACGGGUCACCUGGCUCAUAGGUAGAGUUUGUUCCCUUAAAUCUACUGAAUAGCACUCUCCUGGCUGGUCUGUGUAGUUUGACCAGCGUUUGGGAUGUCAAGUGUCUGAUUUUGGUUCCAGACACUCGACAACCAAGUACCGCUGCCUCCUUCUGUGCGAAAACAUGGGCACCGUUUUCUCUUGCACAUGGCGUUCGACUAUAUGAACAGCGGCCACCCAGGGAGAUUGAUGAUGUAAAUGAGGUCGUCGGUGUUCGGUAGUUUUAUCUGCAGAACAGGGAAACAACAAAAAGUCGAAUUAACAGGGGUAGUUUCUUCACAACCUACAUUACUGAAUUCUUGCAUUAAUGUGUCCACAGAAAUAUUUUUGCAUUUGUAUUUCAUUCUUGGGGUUUCCUUGUUUCCAAUGACCAAUCAGAACUGUUUUAUGCAGCACAGUUUGCAAUGCUCUAGGGCCGGAUUUACACGUCAGGUGUCUGCAGGCACCCCCUGCUCCCGCAGUAAAAGGAAAAUACUGGUAAAGUGAGUUUCAAGAAUUCAUAAACUGGACAUUGCAGAAAUAAGAAUGUCUGGAAACAUAUAUUCAUAGCUGACACUUAAAGGACCACUAUAGUGCCAGGAAAACAAACUAGUUUUCCUGGCACUAUAGUGUCCUGAGGGUGCCCCCACCCUCAUGGCCCCCCUCCCGCCGGGCUGAAGUUGGAGGAAGGAGUUAAACACUUACCUUUCUCCAGCGCCUCCAGGGCUCUUUCGGCGCUGGGGACUCUCCUCCCCCUUUGGACGUCAUCGGCUGAAUGCGCAUGUGCGGCACGAGCCGUGCGUGCAUUCAGUCAGUCCAUAGGAAAGCAUUCUCAAUGCUUUCCUAUGGACGCUGGCUUCUCCCCCCCGGCCCUCACCCCUGAGUGGCGGGUGGGGACCCUAAAUAAAAAUGUAAACCCCCACCAGGUGACUAGGGGUCCUCCCAACAAAAUUAAGUAACUCCUACCUACCCCCCUCACCUUAAAAAUAGUGAGGGGUGACCAAUAACUAGGUUCCUGUAAAAAAACAAAUAAAACUUACCAUUUGAUGACUUCUUUUUUCUAAAAUCUUCUAUUUUCAGCCACAAUGGAUGGAUAAAAAUCCAUAAUAACUGUCGCACAUUGAAAAAAAAAACCUGAGCGCAAAAAAAGUAAUCCAUCUUCACCCAUGGAGGGCACCACGCAGACUGAGCUCUGCAGGGUGGGGGAGGCUUAUAAAGUAGCCUUAAAAGAAGAAAGGCUACCACAACAAGAGGACAGAGUCUUAAAUUAGAGGGGCAAAGGUUUAAAAAUAAUAUCAGGAAGUAUUACUUUACUGAGAGCGUAGUGGAUGCAUGGAAUAGCCUUCCAGCUGAAGUGGUAGAGGUUAACACAGUAAAGGAGUUUAAGCAUGCGUGGGAUAGGCAUAAGGCUAUCCUAACUAUAAGAUAAGGCUAGGGACUAAUGAAAUUAUUUAGAAAAUUGGGCAGACUAGAUGGGCCGAAUGGUUCUUAUCUGCCGUCACAUUCUAUGUUUCUAUAUGGAACCAAUAAAUGAAUUAAAACACAGUGCACAUGACAUCCCUCUUAUCAAAAUAUACUUUGGUGAUGUUCUAGGUUUGUCAAGAGAAAAGACUCAAUAUAUCCAAAGUGAGCGGGAAUAACGUCUGUUCUUCUUAUGUAAAAUAUGGGACUAUGAAAAUGAAUCACCGAUAUAAUUUCUUGCCCUAAUUCGCUGUAUUUCUUGCUUUUUUUCUCAGCAACCCUUAAGUCAUGUCUCCCGACUCAAGUCUGCGGUACUACAGUUGGGAGUAUAAGAAAUGACUGUUGUUCCACUGACCUCUGCAACUCUGCAGCCGGCUCUGUCGGGGUGUCCUUUGUCACGGUUGCGGUUUGUCUGGUGGUCCUGUGGGUGACUAAGCUGUGAUCUACAUAACGAAUAUCUCAAGCAGCUUCAUAAUGGAACAUCUGAUACAUAAGAAACAAGAGUCUCAAAACUACAGGCCCAUUGCUAGUCAUUUAACUAUAUACAACUAUUUAUAUAGCUCCAACAUAUUCAGGAGGCCUGUACAAUAUGUAAAAGAAGACAAACAUUUAAUUUAACAAGCAAAAUAUGUCUGACAUGUGGGAAUAUGGGACAAACGAGCCAGUAGACCAUUUGUCCCAAUCUCGGAUACUUUGUGGUAUGACUCCAAUCACGGUUCGUUCCAGGGGGGAAUAAAAUAAAACCAGACCACAGAUUGCAAGCAGAGGUUAACCCUUUUGGGUGGCUCUGUUUAUUAAUCUGUAAUAAAACUCAUCUAACUAAAACCAGAAAUCAGUUUGGAAGAGUGAGCCCUGAGCAUUGAACAAAGACUUAUAUAUCUACUGAAAAUGCAGAAUUAAUGUAUAAUAUUUAUUAACCUAAUUGAUAAGGAUGGUAUAAAAUUGCCAGAUUUAACAUAACAAAGUAGAUAGGAUAAUUAGCUAAAUAACAGCCAUAACAAGGCCAGAACAUUUAUUAUCUGACUCUUGCCACAUAUUUUGAUUGACCAUAGCAUACUUGUUAGCAAAAUGGCAUUUACAUUGUUGGUUAGCAGUAGACAUGUGCAUUCGGAUUCCUUAGACUGACAAAAUGACUGAAAAUUUUGAUUAGUCAGAAAAAGAAUACAAAGUUACCAAUGACAGAAUAGCUUGUUUUUAUAUACGUUUUACAAUGUUCUAUUGGAAAAACCUAUGACCCUUUUUCCUUUUCAUUCUGCACCCUUUCCCCUUGUUGUUGUUCCAAAGUUUUUUGAAAUAGUUGAAUAAAAAACCAUUUGAAAAGAA